UUUGGAUAAAAGUUAGAGUCAUUUUUCUUUGUCUGAGCGAAUUGAUAACGCGCACUUGUUCCAAAAUUUAUUUCAACUUCUAAAAAAAGUUUCAAGGCAUGUGUUAUUUGCGGGCGGUAUUUUCACCAAUAUUCAUCUUCGUUGCAUUUUGUUUUCCAUAUGCAGAUUGCAUGUGUGCGAAAUCCUCUUGGUGCAGUGAUGCAGCCUGGAGAGUGACUCAGAGGGCCUACUGUCCGCAGGGAUUCAACCCACACGAUGAGUCAUUCUGCGCCGUUCAGUGGGACAGGUCCUCACCAAUCACAAGACAACAUAGAUAUCGAGCUCUGACUCUCAGAGGCUUGCCUCCCUCUGAAAUAUGCGACAAGUAUGGGGUCAACAGAGACACAGACAUGUUCCAGAUAUGUGAUGCCCUGCCAACUGACACUGUGUCAUGCAAUACAUACACUCGGUCUAAAUCUUUGAAGUUCAUGACAUGUGACGAGAUUGAAGAAAAAUAUGGGGCUACGAGUACUACUGAAAUGGCGUCCAGUACUCCAAGCCCUGUUGCAAGUAGACUUCUACCCCUUACAUUGAGCUCGAUCACUUCCAAAUUGAAUCCGACUACCUCCAGUCCCCUAAAAACCAGUGCAGAAA